UACGUAGGGGGCUAGCGUUGUCCGGAUUUAUUGGGCGUAAAGAGCGUGUAGGCGGCCAGGUAGGUCUGCUGUGAAAACUCGAGGCUCAACCUCGAGACGUCGGCGGAAACCAUCUGGCUAGAGUCCGGAAGAGGAGAGUGGAAUUCCUGGUGUAGCGGUGAAAUGCGCAGAUAUCAGGAAGAACACCCGUGGCGAAGGCGGCUCUCUGGACCGAGACUGACGCUGAGGCGCGAAAGCGUGGGAGCGAACAGG
rnacentral:rRNA from 1 species